rnacentral:tRNA from 1 species
GAGGGUGUGGUUCAGUGGCAGAGCACGUGCUUAGCAAGUGCGAGGUCCUGGGUUCCAUCCCCAGCACCUCCA